UGAACCCUCCGGAGGACAACGGGACAACAAGAUGCCCCUGAAGCGGACGAGAAACGCAGCAAGUGCCCAAAUUAAAGAGCAGCUGAGCCGGGAGCUGCGACAGAGCAGGCUGACUCUUUUCAUUCAACAGUUUGAGAAAGAAGCACAAGAGCGCAUGAACGAGUUGGAGGCCAAGCUGGAGAACAUGCUGGGGACAGUGGACAUAGUGUUCAAAGUGGAACUGAUGAAGAUGCCUCCUCCUCUAAGAAACACACUCAUAGGGGAUUUGAUAAGCGAUGAGGAUAUCUCAGCUAGCGAUGUGUCUAUUGCAAUGAAGAAUGAGACCCUUGAGAUGAACCAACCCCUCAAGAGGGUGCCAAGUAAAAGAGCAAAAUCAACGGACUCUCCACCGGUUCAGAUCACCCCAGCCCAGCGGUCCUCAUCAAGAACCUCAAAGUGUGGAAAGGGGACAAAAAAGACAAGGACUUUAGUUGGGAGCAACAGCACCGGAAAUCUCAGGGGCUCCUCAGUCACUGCGAAAAGAACGCAAAGCCGCUUGACCAAGACCAAUGACCAGACCAUUCCGGCCAAACCUAAACUCAGAGUUAAACUUGCUGUCGCAGGUCUGUCGUCUCCACUGGUGAUCUGCACUGUUCAAUGGCAGGCUCUGCUGCACACAUCACUGUCACAACAGCACAGGGACAGACUGUCAGCUUCUCUGAAGAGACCAAGGAUGAGAUAAACUUGGACUUACUGGAUGAUGAGGCAUGGUGCCAGAUUCAGAAGCUCACCAGUCUGAUGGCAUAUCUGUCAAGGCGAAGCCGCUGUCAGCAAUGAGUAAAGAUCCACUCAGACCCACGUUUUUCAAUGUUUCCAGCAUUUGACAACAAAGUCUGUUCUCAAAGUCGAAAUCAGUGUAUAUACGUUGGGUUUAUUACUCGUCAGAUGUUCUAAUAAGAGUAUCAGUUGUGUGUUUUGGUUGUCUGAAAAAGUUUUAAAGUUUUUGUAUAAUAAAGCUUAUUUGUGUUUUCCUACAUGAUUAUAAUUUUAUUCAAGAGAAAAACUCUAUUUGUUGUUACUCUGUCUGGAGUUUGGGACAUGAUAAAUCAGCUUAUCAUCGGGAGGGGUAAGAGUUCAAACCUUUAGAAAUGAGUACAUGAUUUUAUUGUAAUGAUUGUUAAUGAUGCGUUGAGAAAUUGACUCAGUAAAUACGAAAGUGUCUGAUUCCAGUCAAGUUUAUGUGGAAAAAGUAGCAAAAAAUAAGCUUUAACAUUCACGUCUCAGUUUGAAAACUGCACAUUUUGACACCUCGUGAUUUCAAGAA